rnacentral:lncRNA from 1 species
CCAACAUAAAACUAAAUAUGUAGAUCUCAAGCAUUAGUGAGUCAUUUGGGUUGGACAUAAAUAAGAGAAUUUUGUCACUCAGAAAAUACACUACACUAGGAAUGGGGAGUCAGAAAGCAUAGACUAGCUAUCAUAGCUAUCAUAAUGUACAUAUGGUACAAUACUGUUUCAUGGUAGACGUGCCAUUCAAUUUUUGAGAGGCAGCCAUAUGAUGUAAAGUGGACUAUUAACUGUUGAUGUCAAAAUUAACAAUACUCUAUAUAGAAAAUGUCCACAGAUUCAUGAAUUUGAAAUGAAUUUAAAAAAUAAGUAAAAAAUGUCUGUGGGCCCAGAAUUGACCA